CCUACGGGAGACAGCAGUGGGGAAUAUUGGGCAAGGGGCGCAAGCCUGACCCAGCAACGCCGCGUGAAGGAAGAAGGCUUUCGGGUUGUAAAAUUCUUGUGACAGGGAAGAGGAGAAGACGGUACCUGUCGAAUAAGCCACGGCUAACGACGUGCCAGCAGCCGCGGUAAUCCGGAGCUGGCAAGCGUUGUCCGGAGUUACUGUGUUUAAAGGGCGUGUAGCCGGGUUGACAAGUCAGAUGUGAAAUCCUGCGGCGUAACCGCAGAACUGCCUUUGAAACUGUUGAUCUUGAGUACUGGGGAGGCAGACGGAAUUCCUAGUGUAGCGGUUAACUGCGUAGAUAUUAGGAGGAACCCCAGUGGCGACGGCGGUCUGCUGGACCGCACCUGACGGUGAGGCGCGAACGCGUG
rnacentral:rRNA from 1 species